UUUCCGUAGGUGAACCUUCGGAAGGAUCAUUACCGUAACGCGGCGGUCCGGCAACCGCAAGGAAGUCGGCCGCCACACGCGUUUAUCACCCUUGACUUUGAGCACCUUUCGUUUCCUCGGCGGGUUCGCCCGCCAGCGAGGACCCCCACAAACCCUUUGUAAUAGCAAUAUUCGUCUGAAAACAAACCAAUAAUCAAAACUUUCAACAAUGGAUCUCUUGGUUCUG
rnacentral:misc_RNA from 1 species